rnacentral:tRNA from 1 species
CCGCGGGUGGCCGAGCGGUUCGGCCGCUGCCUGCUGGAACUGGGCGGCAACAACGGCGCGAUCGUCACGCCUUCAGCGGA